rnacentral:rRNA from 1 species
UACGAAGGGGGCUAGCGUUGUUCGGAAUUACUGGGCGUAAAGCGCACGUAGGCGGAUAUUUAAGUCAGGGGUGAAAUCCCAGAGCUCAACUCUGGAACUGCCUUUGAUACUGGGUAUCUUGAGUAUGGAAGAGGUAAGUGGAAUUGCGAGUGUAGAGGUGAAAUUCGUAGAUAUUCGCAGGAACACCAGUGGCGAAGGCGGCUUACUGGUCCAUAACUGACGCUGAGGGUGGCGAAAAGCGUGGGGAGCAAACACGG